rnacentral:rRNA from 1 species
CAGCAGCCGCGGUAAUACGUAGGAGGCGAGCGUUAUCCGGAUUUACUGGGUGUAAAGCGCGUGUAGGCGGUCCUGCAAGUGGUGCGUGAAAGCGCCCGGCUCAACCGGGCGAGGACGUGGGCGAACUGCAGGGCUAGAGGCAGGUAGAGGCGUGUGGAAUUCCGGGUGUAGUGGUGAAAUGCGUAGAGAUCCGGAGGAACACCAGUGGCGAAGGCGACACGCUGGGCCUGGCCUGACGCUGAGAGGCGAAAGCAUGGGGAGCGAACGGGAUUAGAAACCCCGGUAGUCCAUGCCGUAAACGAUGCUGACUAGGUGUGGCGGGUAUGAACUCCUGCCGUGCCGGAGCCAACGUGGUAAGUCAGCCACCUGGGGACUACGGCCGCAAGGUUGAAACUCAAAGGAAUUGACG